UGGAUGACCAGUAUUUUUGUGUGGAU
rnacentral:piRNA from 1 species